rnacentral:rRNA from 1 species
UACGUAGGGGGCUAGCGUUGUCCGGAUUUAUUGGGCGUAAAGAGCGUGUAGGCGGCCAUGUAGGUCCGGUGUGAAAACUCGAGGCUUAACCUCGAGAUGUCAUCGGAAACCAUUUGGCUAGAGUCCGGAAGAGGAGAGUGGAAUUCCUGGUGUAGCGGUGAAAUGCGCAGAUAUCGGGAGGAACACCAAUGGCGAAGGCAGCUUGCUGGGACGGUACUGACGCUAAGGAGCGAAAGCGUGGGGAGCGAACAGG